rfam:Triticum aestivum genome assembly, contig: Triticum_aestivum_CS42_TGACv1_scaffold_471224_6AL
GAAUUACUCCCUCUGUCCGGAAAUACUUGUCGUAAAAAUGAAUACAAAUGAAUGUAUCUAGAACUAAAAUACAUCUAGAUACCUUCAUUCCUUGGACAAGUAUUUUCGGAUGAAGGGAGUACUUG